rnacentral:rRNA from 1 species
AGUAGCGGACGGGUGAGUAACGCGUGAGAAUCUGCCUUGGGGUCGGGGACAACCACUGGAAACGGUGGCUAAUACCGGAUAAGCCGAUUGGUGAAAGAUUUAUUGCCCGAAGAGGAGCUCGCGUCUGAUUAGCUAGUUGGUGAGGUAAGAGCUCACCAAGGCAGCGAUCAGUAGCUGGUCUGAGAGGACGAUCAGCCACACUGGGACUGAGACACGGCCCAGACUCCUACGGGAGGCAGCAGUGGGGAAUUUUCCGCAAUGGGCGAAAGCCUGACGGAGCAAGACCGCGUGAGGGAGGAAGGCUCUUGGGUUGUAAACCUCUUUUCUCAGGGAAGAAGCUCUGACGGUACCUGAGGAAUCAGCCUCGGCUAACUCCGUGCCAGCAGCCGCGGUAAUACGGAGGAGGCAAGCGUUAUCCGGAAUUAUUGGGCGUAAAGCGUCCGCAGGUGGCGAUUCAAGUCUGCUGUCAAAGCACGGGGCUUAACUCCGUAAAGGCAGUGGAAACUGAAUAGCUAGAGUGCCGUAGGGGUAGAGGGAAUUCCCGGUGUAGCGGUGAAAUGCGUAGAGAUCGGGAAGAACAUCGGUGGCGAAAGCGCUCUACUGGACGGCAACUGACACUCAGGGACGAAAGCUAGGGGAGCGAAUGGGAUUAGAUACCCC